rnacentral:lncRNA from 10 species
AUCUCUGUUUAAUUGAAGAGCCUCUACCAUUGCAAGAAGAGCUGUUUAAAACAAAACAAAAUGGAUACUAUUUGAAAAUUCUUAGCUGGAUUAAAUCAAGAUUUCUCUAUUCUGUGCAACCCAGAAGUAAACUGGGGUUGAUACACACACAUUUUCAUCCAUAACCUUGGUUUAAAGUGCUUCCUAUUUGCUGGAAUAGUUUUCAAUGCUUUUACUGAUUUCUUCUGAAAAAUAUUUGAACUCAUAAAAUGUAUUCAUAAAAUACUUUUAUCUAUUUUGUAUAGAGGGAAUCCAAUGUAAAAUUUUGUCCCAUAAAUUUGAAAACUGCUGGUGAAGUACAAAAGGCAUGGAUGUUGGAAUGAAGGCUGGAGCCAAAUCCUGGCUCGCCCCCUUACUAGUCACAUAGCAAAUCCUGGCUCACCCCUCACUAGUCACGUAUCAAAUCCUGGCCGACCCCUUACUAGUCCCAUAUGAAAUCCUGGCUGACCCCUUACUAGUCACAUAUUGAAUCCUGGCUGACCCCUUACUAGUCACACAUCGAAUCCUGGCUCACCCCUCACUAGGCACAUAUCCUUGGGCCUGUCACUUACCCUCUUUGAGCCUCCAAGUCCCGUCCACUAAACGGAGCUUAACUUAGCAGGAAUUUCAUCCGAUGAGAUAAUGUAUCCAGGACACAGUAAAUACACAGUUACCUUUUCCUUCCCACCCCACCAACAUGUACAGAUAGCACUGAAUUGCCCAGGCCCUCUCAUGACCUAAGAUACCACAUGCAGGCCACACAGCAGCUGGACUGUGCAGCCAGGGCCCAGGGCUACCCCAACUGACCUCCACUCCCCUCAGCACCCUCCUCUGGCCUCCGAGCUAGCCAGCUGCUGAUCCAAAGCUCUGGAUCCUUUAGGGCUGUGCAAAGAUGUGACAGGCAUGGGUAUGAGGCUGUGGGGGACUCUGUGUGUAAACUGAUGUUUCUUUGUAUAGCAUUUGAUAUUCGGUGUGGGUAUGAGGUUGUGGGGGGCUCUGUGUGUAAACUGAUGUUUCUUUAUACAGCAUUUGAUAUUGGGUGUAGGUAUGAGGCUGUGGGGGACUCUGUGUAAACAGAUGUUUUCUUUAUAUAGCAUUUGAUAUGUAUUCCAUUUGCCUUCUAAAGCCCUCCAGUGGCUGCUCCAGUUGGUCCACUGCAGUGCUUGAUUUUGUGAAGAACCCUGUGGAAUGUGGUCUCUGGCAGCUGAGAAGUGCCUUCCUUUUCCAUCAGCGCAAGGCAAACACAUGAAGGGAGCUGGGGUUUCUUGCCACCAUUUCACCUGAGACCCCUGAAAGCUGCAGCCCACACUGCAAAUACUUUUCUUGGCCCUGGAAGUAGAGGGAAGUUUGUUGAGAAGCUGUUCUUAAUUUCUCACUUGUUGAAAAAUUACCCAAAACAGGAGGCAAGACAAUUGUGCAAAUUCCAUUUGAUGACUGAGCAGAAGCUCCCAGAACCCUCGGAUGAAGUGAGCAGCAUUCCCAGGAGGCGGGACGUUGGACGCUAUUUUUAUUUUAACAUCUCAUAUUGCCCCAGGUUCUCUGAGUCAACACCCUCAAAGGGGACAGACAGAAACAGAAAGGAACUUUUGGGCUGAUUAUAAGGAUUCAGCUGGCCUUGGGAAAAGUCUAAACAUCUUUGAAACACAAUUGGAAAGUAAUCCAAACAGCCUGUGAGCUCAGGCUUCCCAGUUAGAACUGCCUGUCCCAAGUUAAUCUUGCUUAGUUUUUUGGGGGGCAUCAUACCUAAAGAAGAAGAAGAAGAAAAAAGGCAAGAAUAAGUAAAAGGAAAAAAAAGAAAAAGAAAGGCAGGCAAGAAUUUUUGUCCCUGUCGGGAGAAGAGUCUGGUCUGUGGACACCAGACACCUAAGCAAGUUUCUUGGAAGGGAGGCUUUGGCAACCCUCGCAAUUCGCAUUCACAGGAGACAUGCCCUAUUUUCCACAACAGGCAGCCUCGCCACCAGCCCCAGGAGGGAGGAAGCUCUCUUCUCAGUGUCUGCAGGUUUAUCCCUAAAUGCUACGGAAGCAGCAGCUGCCAGGGGAAGGGGAUACUGCUCAGUCUUUUAAAACUCUCGUGUAAGCUUGAUAUUACAGUCAUGACCUAAAAAGGCAAAGACCAGAUAUGCGGAGCUCGCUGCGGAUGUAGCCUGCACACGGCCGCAGGAUUUGUCACCACUCAUCCAUGUUUAAAAAAGCCAGUCCAGGCAAGACAGCCACAGGCUCCCGCCCACAAGUGAUCACGAACACACUUCACACUGCCUUAUGGCAGAGCAAGUGCAUAUAGCCCGGUCUUGUGUGACCUUCACAGCCAAUAUUCAUUAUAAUCCCCUCUCACCAAUAUUGAAAAUGGAUGCUCAGGGGAUCAGUGACUCGCCUGGUGUCAAAGUGCCAGGUCCAAAUCAAGACCUGCAGAUCAAGUCUUCUGUGGAUGCUUCCAAUCCCAGGCUGCUUUCAUUUCUGAUGGACACGUCCUUCAUGUCCCACAGAUCCAUGGAUCGCCGGCAUCUUCCCUCCUGUUCACAUAGGUGAGAAGGAAGGAGCUGGCAGGCAAUGCCCUUCCAGGUGGGCUACAGGGAAGGUUCUUUUCUCAUUAGGUUGAUCCCUUGGCUUCCCUAGUAAAGUGGGGAGCUGUUGAAAAGAAAGAAUGGAAACGAGGUAAUGAUCCUGGAGCCUAAUGGAAGGGCCGCAGCCAGUUUUCCCCUGUUGAAAGGACACAGGACUUCCCGAAGAGUUUUCAUGGCAAAAACGUCCAACCAGCUACUAAGGAAACAGGAUGGACUCAUGCGUGCAGGAGAGAAAUCACUAAAGGACACAAGACUUCCCAAAGAGUUUUCAUGGCAAAACGUCCAUCCAGCUACUAAGGAAACAGGAUGGACUCAUGCGUGCAGGAGAGAAAUCACUUGGCCGUCACUGGAAGAGCAGGCUGUGAUGGGAACGGUAAGGACAGAGAAGGGAAGGUUCACAGGAUAGAAAUUCACAGGGCAAGUAGGGUUCCAAGUCAGAAGCAAAACACUUUACACAACAUUACAGACAGGCUCCACUGCAACUGGGCAGGUCAGGACUGGGCUCAGUCGGCCACAUUCUGCUCCCACGCGUUGCUUCCUUAGACUGUCAGGGAAGGGAGAAGGGCAGCCACCAGGAGCGGCCAGGGUCACGGACUUGCUACUUCUUUCCUAGAGUCUGUUCUGUUUUCUGUCAGCAGUAAGGAAAUACAUUCUAGCAAAUGACAUCCAGUAAUGCUUUAAUUAACUGCAGUAUUUUGUGCUCCAACAUGCAGGCAGAAAUCACUUCCAGAUGGAGAAAAUGAAAGCUAUUUACACAAAGAAGCAAUCCCUUUAUUUUAAGGAAAUUUAUAUCUCCCAAAGGUGUAGAACUUCGAGGGUCCAAGAGGCUAUUCUGAUGAAUACUAAAACAGGACUGGGAAUUUUUAUUUAAUAUAUAAAAUGUCAUCGUACCCUUCAUGUAGGCCAGCAUUUCAGGUGUCCAUGUUUCUAAGGCUUUUGCUUAAAUUGCCCAUUGGAGCUCUAUUUUAUUUUUAGGAAUCUGACUUGGAGUAGACGAGAAGUGUGAGACACUUGCUGUCACCCUCAAGCAGGCAGGUUGUUCUGAGUGCUCUUCCUAGCGAAGGAAUCCCAUUUCCAGCAGGUUAUUCCGAGUGCUCUUCCUAGCGAAGGAAUCCCAUUUCCAGCAGGUUAUUCCGAGUGCUCUUCCUAGGGAAGGAAUCUCAUUUCCAGCAGGUUAUUCCGAGUGCUCUUCCUAGGGAAGGAAUCCCAUUUCCAGCAGGUUAUUCCGAGUGCUCUUCCUAGCGAAGGAAUCCCAUUUCCAGCAGGUUAUUCCGAGUGCUCUUCCUAGCGAAGGAAUCCCAUUUCCAGCAGGUUAUUCCGAGUGCUCUUCCUAGCGAAGGAAUCUCAUUUCCAGCAGGUUAUUCCGAGUGCUCUUCCUAGCGAAGGAAUCCCAUUUCCAGCAGGUUAUUCCGAGUGCUCUUCCUAGCGAAGGAAUCUCAUUUCCAGCAGGUUAUUCCGAGUGCUCUUCCUAGCGAAGGAAUCCCAUUUCCAGCAGGUUAUUCCGAGUGCUCUUCCUAGGGAAGGAAUCUCAUUUCCAGCAGGUUAUUCCGAGUGCUCUUCCUAGCGAAGGAAUCCCAUUUCCAGCAGGUUAUUCCGAGUGCUCUUCCUAGCGAAGGAAUCCCAUUUCCAGCAGGUUAUUCCGAGUGCUCUUCCUAGCGAAGGAACCCCAUUUCCAGCAGGUUAUUCCGAGUGCUCUUCCUAGGGAAGGAACCCCAUUUCCAGCAGGUUAUUCCGAGUGCUCUUCCUAGGGAAGGAACCCCAUUUCCAGCAGGUUAUUCCGAGUGCUCUUCCUAGGUAAGGAAUCCCAUUUCCAGCAGGUUAUUCCGAGUGCUCUUCCUAGGUAAGGAAUCCCAUUUCCAGCAGGUUAUUCUGAGUGCUCUUCCUAGCCAAGGAAUCCCAUUUCCAGCAGGUUAUUCUGAGUGCUCUUCCUAGCCAAGGAAUCCCAUUUCCAGCAGGUUAUUCUGAGUGCUCUUCCUAGGGAAGGAACCCCAUUUCCAGCAGGUUAUUCCGAGUGCUCUUCCUAGAGAAGGAACCCCAUUUCCAGCUGUGCACAUGCAGCAUUUCCCCUGGCAUUCUUUCAACAGGGAACCAGGUCUCCUCAUCCGAUGGCAAUUCAGGAAGGGUUGGUGUCAUACCCUGCAUCGAGCAGCAGCCUCGGACCUGCCCCCACGCUCUGCGUGCCCUGUACUGGUCAUGCUGGUCUCAGCUUGUCUGCUCUCAGUCCUGUCUGAUCUGCACAGAGGAGCCACCCUAGACAUAAGAAAUCAGGCACCCCUUCUCGGGGGUGGGCAGAGCCCUGGGUACUGGCUCUUUGUUCUUCGAGAGAGGAAGGAGUGGCGGUAGUUAGCUUCAAUCCCUGAGCUGGGUUUGGAGAUCAGAACACCUUGUCCAUUGCGGCUCCUGUUUCAUUGUUAAGAGUCCACACAGGAUGUUCUCUGGCCUGGACACCGCUAAGCCAGCUUUCAGACAAGUCCCCUCAGUAAGAGCAGAGUGAACUCUUUAUUGAUUAUACAAAUUACCACUAUUUAUUUUAAACCCAAAGUGACUUCAAAGUUGUUUUUUGGUUUUUAAAGGGGCUACAGAAAAUGGACUGAGGGGAAGGAAUGGGCACAAUAUCUAGGUCUAGCUGAAUCACAGAGCUGUUAGCUGCUGCUUUCAUCCACAGGUACUCCUUUUACCUUAUUAUUUUUUAGAGAGUCUUGCUCCGUCACCCAGGCAGGAGUGCAAUGGCAUGAUCUCGGCUCACUGCAGCCUCUGCCUCCUGGGUUCAAGCGAUCCUCCUGCUUCAGCCUCCUGAGUAGCUGGGAUUACAGGCGCCCACCACCACGCCUGGCUAAUUUUGUAUUUUUAGUAAAGACAGGGUUUCACCAUGUCGGCCAGGCUGGUCUCGAACUCCUGACCUCACAUGAUCCACCUGCCUCGGCCUCCCAAAGUGCUGGGAUUACCAGUGUGAGCCACCAUGCCCGGCCUAUUUUUUAAUAGAGAUGGGGUCUCACUCUGUUGCCCAGGCUUGUCUUGAAGUCCUGGGCUCAAGCAAUCUUCCCACCUCAGCCUCUCAAAGCACUGGCAUUACAGGUGUGAUGCCACAGUACCCGGCCUAGGGUGCCCCUUUGAUACGUUAUUUUUGAAGUGAUGUUAAUAAAUAAAGCUUCUGCUUGGGGGUUGGUCAUCAAAACAAGAAGAAUCCUCAUCAGUAUGGAGAGAGCCCAAUCCUGGGCAUGGUCCCCACCACCACCAAAAGUCUUUUUUUUUUAACUGAGUCUCACUCUGUCUCCCAGGCUGGAGUGCAGUGGCGGGACCUCGGCUCACUGCAACCUCCGCCUCCCGGAUUCAACUGAUUCCCCUGCCUCAGCCUCCCAAGUAGCUGGGAUUACAGGCACCCGCCACCUGCCUGCUUUUUUUUUUUUUUUUUUUGUAUUUUUAGUAGAGAUGGGAUUUUGCCAUGUUGGCCAGGCUGGUCUCAAACUCGUGACCUCAUGUGAUCCGCCCACCUCGGCCUCCCAAAGUGCUGGGAUUACAGGCGUGAGCCACCGCGCCUGACCCAACACAAGUUUAAAAUGAAAGCUGUUAUCAGUAGAGAAUCUUCACCACGUUGGCACCAGCUCAAGUGUAGUGUCGGCGCACUUUUAGCUUAGAGUCAGAAAAAUAGACAUGUAUGAAAAUGCGUGGCAGGAGCCCUUCCAUAAAGCAAAUCUCUCUGUUGCAGUGGUUCUUAACAAGGUGUAAACGUUAUAACUACCUAUGGAACUUUUAAACCUGUAUGCCAGGCCCCAUCCAAACUUACUGACUCAAAAUCUCCGGGCAUCUGUUUUUUUGUUUGUUUUGAGAUAGAGUCUCACUCUGUCGCCAGGCUGGAGUGCAGUGGCGUGAUCUCGGCUCACUGCAAUCUUUGCCUCCCGGGUUCAAGCGAUUCUCCUGCCUCAGCCUCCCAAGUAGCUGGGAGGUGUGCACGCCACCACACCCCGGUAAUUUUUGUAUUUUUUGUAGAGAUGGGGUUUCACCAUAUUGGCAAGGAUGGUCUCAAUUUCCUGCGCUUGUGAUCCGCCCGCCUCAGCCUCCCCAAGUGCUGGGAUUCCAGGCGUGAGCCACGGCGCCCGGCCGGCAUCUGUAGAUUUUAAAAGGCCCCAGUGGUUCUGAUGCACACCCCCAGAAGAGAAACACAGCGUCUCUACACAGUACUGAGUCCCCAUCAAGGAGACAUUUAACAGAAACUCCUACUGACAUCCAUUGGUUCCUUGGGGAUUACUGACAAUGUAACAAAUCAAGACAGCAACUUCCCUGGCUGUGACCACCAACUGUGGAAAACAGCAGCUUGAUAGCUCAAUGCUGUGAUGGAGCCGUCCGGAAAACGACUCCUCAACAAUGAACCAAAAAGAGAAGUGGUGAUCUGUACACAAACGCCAGGAGUGACAAGAACCAGGUGCAGGAGUCCACUGGCUUUCCCAGCUCUCCUGGGUUGAGGACAGACGGCUGAACUGGCUGUGCUAUUUGGAGAUGGGCCCCACCGCCCCUUUUCAACUGUACGGCUCAGGCUGCUUAACCAUAGCAACUCCAUGGGCUGGGGUGGGGGCAUCUACAGGGCUUCCUGGGGGCUCUCCCGACUGCCGCCCCCCGCCCUUGUCUUAUUUGGAAUCUUUUCCUAAUAGACCUCAACUGAAGGCCGCAUCUCCUUCUCGCAACACUUCUUUUCUCCUCCGCAUUCUCAAAUUUGAGACGCUUGAUGCGUGAGAGUCAAACCAGCUAGCAAGGACAGCCUGGAAGCCGAUGAAGAAAUGACACUCAGGAUCAGAGCUGGACGGCAUCGGGGAGAAAGCCUGGCAGAGAGGGCAGGGGCACAGAGCAGUGGUUAUGUUGGGAAACAAGGUGGGGAUGAGGAAAUCAGGUUUCCAGGCAGAUUUCCAAACCUUAUUCCUACUGUACGGCUGUUACAAGUUUUAUGGAUUUUAAGGAAAUUUCCUCUAUCCUGAAAACUUUUUGAGAAGGGGUCUUGCUCUGUCACCCAGGCUGGAGUGCAGUGGUGAAAUCUUGGCUCACUGCAGCCUCCACCUCCCGGGUUUAAGUGAUUCUCCUGCCUCAGCCUCCCCAGUAGCUGGGAUUACAGGCACUCGCCAUGACACCCGGCUAAUUUUUUUUAUUUUUAGUUGAGACAGGGUUUCGCCAUGUUGGGCAGGCUGGUCUCGAAUUCCUGACCUCAGGUGAUCCACCUGCCUCAGCCUCCCAAAGUGCUGUGAUUACAGGCAUGAGCCACCACACCCAGCCAAUUUUUUGUAUUUUUGGUUUUGCCAGGUUGCCCAGACUGGUCUCAAACUCCUGAGCUCAAGCAAUCUGCCCACCUCAGCCUCCCUAGCAGUUGGGACUACAGGUGCAUGCCACCACACCUUGCAAAUUUUUAUUUUUGUAGACAUCUGUAUGUUGCCCAGGCUGGUCUCAAACUCCUGGACUCAAGUGAUCCUCCUGCCUUGGUCUCCCAAAGUGUUGCGACUACAGGCAUGAGCCGCCGUGCCUGGCAAGAUAUCAUUCUUCAGCAAAAGCAGGCAGCAACAGCAGCGGUUUGCCUGUAGCUGUGGUCAUGGUUAACUGAGGCCUGGUUUCAAGGGAACCGAGUGAAUCAGGGUUAACGGCUUGAUAUGCUGCCAUUCUCUGGAUGCAGGAUGACAUGAGAGGUCGGGAGCAGUCUCUUCGGCAAGCCCUGCUGCAGAGAGCCCGCGGUGGACAGGAAGGGCGGGGGGGGCGGGCAGGCUGCGUGCCAGGCCAGGCUCUCAGCCUGGUCUUUAAGGUCCAUAUUCUGUUCCUGAGGCAUCCAGAACCCCAGACUCCUUCUCAUAACACAGGAACACAUCACUGGGAUGCUGCACAUCACCUUUGCUAUUUCAGAUGACGCUGGAAAGUGCUGUGGACCUGAAGGUGAGUGGGCAGAAAGGGGUUUGAGAGUAUGGACUUCCUGGGCGUUCCCAUGGCUUCAUCUGAUGAGAAAACCUAGGAAACGUCUUCCAAGUGAACUUCCUGGUUUCCCUUCCCUAGAAACCAGGAGCAGGGUGGGAGUAAAGAAAUGGAGGAAGGGGCUGGGCUCGGUGGCUCACGCCUGUAAUCCGAUACUCAGGAGGCUGAGGCAGGAGAAUUGCUUGAACCUGGGAGGCGGA